GUCGUUCACCUAAACAGAAGUGGUGAUGACCAGGAGGUGCUUUUUGAUCAGAUUUUGAUGGGGCAGGUGGACUUUCCUUCUCCAUACUGGGAUAAUGUUUCCGAUUCUGCAAAGGAGCUCAUUACCAUGAUGCUGUUGGUCGAUGUAGAUCAGCGAUUUUCUGCUGUUCAAGUACUUGAGCAUCCCUGGGUUAAUGUAAGUGACUCGCACCAUUUCCUUUGUUCUCUCCUAACAUUCCUUUUAAAAAUCAGUUGCAGAUUUUCUAAUGUUAUUGCCUCCUUUUGAAAGUGUUGUGGGCCAGGCGCAGUGUCUCACGCCUGUAAUCUCAGCCCUUUGGGAGGCCGAGGUGGGUGGAUUGCCUGAGCUCAGGAGUUCGAGGACAGCUUGGGCAACAUGGCAAAACCCCAUCUCUACCAAAAAAUACAAAAAAUUAGCUGGGCAUAGUGGCACAAGCCUGUGGUCCCAGCUACUCAGGAGGCUGAGGUGGUAGGAUUGCUUGACCCUGGAAACCAGAGGUGGUAGUAAGCCAAGAUCGUGCCACUGCACUCCAACCUGAAUGACAGAGUGAGACAUCAUCU
rnacentral:lncRNA from 10 species